rnacentral:lncRNA from 1 species
AGGAUUGGUGCGUACCAUCGAAGAUCGAAGAAUCUAAGACUUCGAAAAAAUCGCAAAAUAACUCACGGCGUGAAUCACGAUGCCCAGAUAAGUUUUUAAUUCAUAUUAUAGUGAUUCAUACUUAGUUGUAGAUAUUAGAAUCAGAAAAUCUAUGUUUACUGGAUUAGAAAGUGCAUCGAAACUUUACGAAACCCGAAACUUUACAAAAAACUGAAAAUUGCAAAGUGUACCGAUACAGCAGUGAAAGUGUACCGAUACAGAUUGUGUUCCGGUACAACCAGAGAUAUGUCACCGGUUACACUGUUUCGCAGGAAAUCUGUUCCGUCAUCGUGUAACCGGUAACAGCUUAAAAGUGUACCGGUAC